CAGCAGUGGGGAAUAUUGCACAAUGGGCGCAAGCCUGAUGCAGCCAUGCCGCGUGUAUGAAGAAGGCCUUAGGGUUGUAAAGUACUUUCAGUCGGGAGGAAGGCGUUGAUAUUAAUACUAUCAGCGAUUGACGUUACCGACAGAAGAAGCACCGGCUAACUCCGUGCCAGCAGCCGCGGUAAUACGGGGGGUGCAAGCGUUAAUCGGAAUUACUGGGCGUAAAGCGCACGCAGGCGGUUGAUUAAGUUAGAUGUGAAAUCCCCGGGCUUAACCUGGGAAUGGCAUCUAAAACUGGUCAGCUAGAGUCUUGUAGAGGGGGGUAGAAUUCCAUGUGUAGCGGUGAAAUGCGUAGAGAUGUGGAGGAAUACCGGUGGCGAAGGCGGCCCCCUGGACAAAGACUGACGCUCAGGUGCGAAAGCGUGGGGAGCAAACAGGAUUAGAUACCCUGGUAGUCCACGCUGUAAACGAUGUCGAUUUGGAGGUUGUUCCCUUGAGGAGUGGCUUCCGGAGCUAACGCGUUAAAUCGACCGCCUGGGGAGUACGGCCGCAAGGUUAAAACUCAAAUGAAUUGACGGGGGCCCGCACAAGCGGUGGAGCAUGUGGUUUAAUUCGAUGCAACGCGAAGAACCUUACCUACUCUUGACAUCCAGAGAAUUUAGCAGAGAUGCUUUAGUGCCUUCGGGAANUCUGAGACANGUNCUG
rnacentral:rRNA from 1 species